AGUGCCUGUGCAAUCCACAAAACAACAAUCCCCUCGCCUUUUACUAGGGGAUUCCGUGUGGAUUGUACACGCAAAGGCACACAUCCAAUCUUUGGGCUAUCGUUUCUCUUCGAGAG
rnacentral:snRNA from 1 species